rnacentral:rRNA from 1 species
GAAGGGACCUAGCGUAGUUCGGAAUUACUGGGCUUAAAGAGUUCGUAGGUGGUUAAAAAAGUUGGUGGUGAAAUCCCAGAGCUUAACUCUGGAACUGCCAUCAAAACUUUUUAGCUAGAGUAUGAUAGAGGAAAGCGGAAUUUCUAGUGUAGAGGUGAAAUUCGUAGAUAUUAGAAAGAAUACCGAUUGCGAAGGCAGCUUUCUGGAUCAUUACUGACACUGAGGAACGAAAGCAUGGGUAGCGAAGAGGAUUAGAUACCCUCGUAGUCCAUGCCGUAAACGAUGUGUGUUAGACGUUGGAAAUUUAUUUUCAGUGUCGCAGCGAAAGCGAUAAACACACCGCCUGGGGAGUACGACCGCAAGGUUAAAACUCAAAUGAAUUGACGGGGACCCGCACAAGUAGUGGAGCAUGUGGUUUAAUUCGAAGAUACGCGCAGAACCUUACCAACACUUGACAUGUUCGUCGCGACUCUAAGAGAUUAGAGUUUUCGGUUCGGCCGGACGAAACACAGGUGCUGCAUGGCUGUCGUCAGCUCGUGUCGUGAGAUGUUGGGUUAAGUCCCGCAACGAGCGCAACCCUUACUUUUAGUUGCCAUCAUUUAGUUGGGCACUCUGAAAGAACUGCCAGUGAUAAGCUGGAGGAAGGUGGGGAUGACGUCAAGUCCUCAUGGCCCUUAUGUGUUGGGCUACACACGUGCUACAAUGGUAUCUACAACAGGAAGCAAGAUGGCAACGUUAAGCAAAUCCCAAAAAGAUACCUCAGUUCGGAUUGCACUCUGCAACUCGAGUGCAUGAAGCUGGAAUUACUAGUAAUCGUGGAUCAGCGUGCCACGGUGAAUACGUUCCCGGGUCUU